rnacentral:RNase_P_RNA from 1 species
UGGACCGGCUUGCCGCUGGCCUGUGAAUCAGGCAAGAGGAAAGUCCGGGCAACACAGGACAACCCGCUUCCUAACGAGAAGUGAUUCGUGAGGGUCAGGCAAUGCAGAAGAAAACAACCGCCUGCCACGUUGCAGGUAAGGGUGAGAAGGUGGGGCAAGAGCCCACCAGGCCGUUGGUGACAGCGGUGCUGUGCAUUCCCGGGUGUUGAAAGUUCAUGUAUACCGGUGCUGUCGGCCUUCGGGCUGGCGAGAGGGCUGUCCGUCCGAGCCGGAGGGUAGAACGAUAGAGGCUUCUGGUGACAGGGGUCGUAGAUAAAUGGCAGGCACCUCCCCCCCUCGGGAGGAGGCACAGAACCCGGCUUACAGGUCCACUGU